UUAGUAAACUAGUGUGAAGGUACGUGCAAUGCACUUAGUGGGUUUGCUAAUUUGGAUUUGGGCCAUUGUAUUGUCAUAUAAUGUUCAUCUAUAUUAUGCCCGGCAAUUUUUGUGACGAAAUAAUUUUUUUAAAAUUAUUUUUGUCAUUGUUUUUAAUUUUUGGAUCAAUUUUUAAAUUUUUUUCAAUUCAUAUUUCAUUACAGAAAUUGAUAAAAAUAAACAUAUUUUUUUAAAAAAAAUAAUAAAAUCUAAAUUAUUUUAAAAUUUACAAAAUAAAGAAUUCAAAUCAUCUAAAUAAGGCUCGUGGUGAGACUCACAAGUUUGCACAACUUGUAUAAUCAGUGGAGAAGAGGAAAAGUUGGCCCAAAGACUAUUAUUACUCCCUAUGAAUUUAUUUGUCCACUUUUCAGAGGUUUUAAACGUGGAUAUAAAGAAGAAAAUUCGCCCAAAAUAUUAAAAUUAAAAGCAAAAAGAUUCCUCUGCAUAUAUAUAAGACUAAUUUGUAAUGGUUUGAGAACUUUCUCCGCUAUAUAUAUCCAACAAUUUUUUUUAAAGAAAUGUUGAACUGCAAUAGAUGCAUCAGAAAGAACAAAUAAAGAAGGUAAAUAUUGCACAUACCUUCCCCUGAGGUUGUAGUUAAAGUCCAGAUUCCCCUGAGGUCCGGUUAAUACAUGUCCCUCCUGAGGUUUUUUAAAUACAUCAAUAUAGGCCCCUACGUUAGUCAAAUGUUAAAAUAAUUAAGAAUAUUUCUUCCUUCUGCUGGACCUCAACCCUAAUGAAAAAUUUCACAUUGCCAAUUUGCCCCUCAAACAUCCUCUAAGCUUUUUAUGUGCUAAUCGAAUUUUAAACUAACACCUGCACAUCCGCCAUUAAACCCACCGAAGAGGAAGAGGAACGGAAGGUGAGUGUUGAGAGAGUAUUGGUUUUGGUGAGGAAAAUAAGAGGAGGAGGGAAUAAGGUGAAGGACUGAAAGAUUAAGGGUUGGUGAGGGGGAAACAUUGAGAGAAGGAAGAGAAAUAAGGGAUAUGAGGGUAAUUAGUAUUUGAAGUUUUUCUAUCAAGGUGUUUAAAAGACAGAACUCUGAUAUGAGAGAAAUGUAUUUCCAGGACCUCAGGGGGGAACUGCCUUAAUCACAAACCUCAGCGAAGUAUGUGUUUAUUUUACAAAAAAAAAAUCAUGGUAUUUUUUUGGAAGGUAAUUACGACCAAUAGAUUGCUCUUGGAGUGAAUGCUCAAGCACUUGGACUUAGAGGCCCAUUUAAAUAUGGCUGUGAGGCCGACACUAAAUCAUGGGCUUAAACCUACAUCUAAAUAUGGGCUAUGAGGAGAAAGUUAUAGUAAUAUGUGGGCCUUGAGCCCAAUCACCGGAUUUCCAUCCAGAGCGACUGCCACCACCGGCCCCGCCAAACCCAAAACCUCUGGGGCGAGCCACACGUGAACACUUUGGUACCAAGGUGGUCUUUUCACACUCCAUUUUUUGAGUAUGGCCCAACUCAUUUUAAAUUUACAAAUGGAAAAUGCUAUGGGUACACCCUUUUGGGUACCCCAAUUGCACACCUAAAAGAGAGAGGGACACAAGGGAGUGGGUGUGGGACCCCUCAAGUGUGUGGAGUCCACCCCAAAUGUGUGGGACUCACUUUCCUUGUGUCUCUCUCUCCUAUGUGUGCAAUUGGGGUACCCAAAAGAGUGUAUCCAUAACACUACUCUUUACAAAUACAUCUCAAUAUACAAAACACUUUAAUACAAAAAUACGUACAAGCAUUUCCUUUUCAAUACUAAAAUCACACAGUUUUACUUCAUUACAUCUCAAAUUAAUUAUUAAAACUUAAAACUUUAAAAUAAACCUCUCCUUUACUGUGAACCCCAUAUCGGAAAAUCAUUGCGAUCUGCACCACCAAAGCUAACGCCAACCUUGACCAAUGCACACAUCUUGUAUUAGGGGUCUCACUCGCAACUACGAUAGUUAAGAAUGAAUUCUGAAUUGUUCACACUAUGAUAUGAAUAAAGAUUUUAAAAUGUUUAAUACAUACGAUCUAAACAAAGUUCUAACAAUUGAUUAUGGAAUCGUUCACACUUACAAGUAUAAGCAAAGAUUUUGUUCAAUUAAAGUAUGAGCCAAUAGUAAGUUUGUUAACACUCACGAGUUUGAAGAAAGUUCUAAGAGUUGGGAUCUAAUUUAUUUUUUUAUUACGCUUACAAUUUAUGAAUAAUUAUUUUUCAUUCUUCUCUGUAUAUAAUGAAAACAAAUUGGACGAAUGUUCAUUUUUUCGAUUAAUGAAACAAAAAUAUUUGUUCACACUUAAUGUUAUUACAAUUAUUUUUUAUUCAUUGAUGUAUAACAUAAACAAGUGACGAAUGUAGUCAAGCCAUACCCGACCUAUACCUGAUUGAGUAUUUCACCCCUCCCCACACCCACCUCCAUCGAAUGAAAAAUUGAAUAAAACUCAUAUCCAAAACGACCAAUUUUUUUGGGCCCCCGUCAAGUUUAGGCGAAAUUUCCAACCCUAUUGGGAGCGAUUAGAAACUAUUUGAAUAUGCUUUAUUCUUUUUGGGAAUAAUUAGGUGGCCUAAUCACAAUAAUUAGAAUAUUGCAGGUCAAAUAGGAUGCACUUAUUAAAAUAAGGGACCUAAAGCAAUUAUAGUUAUAAGAGCCCAACUCAGUCAAGACCCUCUUGCAUCGUAUGCGAUUUAAACGUCUCUCUCACCUAGGGAUCUCUCUCUCUCUUCUCCCUCGCCGGAUACCACUCCUUCGAUCACCACGCCUGUGACCACCGCCGCACCACCGCGCGACCACCAGCACCCUCCUCUAUCUCUCUAUCUCCGGUUUACUCUCUCUCUCUCUCCCCCCCACAUACACCACUGCACCACCGCCGCGACCACCACAGCACCACCACCAUCAUUUCCCCCUUUCCCUUUUCUCCACUUCCGCGUUUUCUCUAAAUUUUUCCUUUUGCCCUAAAUUUUUCUCUUAUUUGACGAAAUGGGUCUGCCUCCAUGUGCUCAGUUGGAACCGGGACACCGUGGAUUCGGUUGAUUGUGAUAACAUUGGUUUUCGGGUCGCACUCUUUAACUUGAUUUAUAAAUUUUGUAAAGAUAAAAAAAAAAAUAUGAAAUACAUAUUUAAUUGAUUGAUGAUUAGGCUAAUUAAAUAAAUAGUAAGAAAGUUUAACUGAUUAGUUUAAUUUAUGAUUAGCCGCGUGGAUAAAUUAUUUAUUUUGUGACCAAAUUUACAUUGUUAUGUUACCCGACCAUGAUUAGCGAGUUGGUAAAUUAUUUAAUUAUUGAAAAAGUACGUGAUUAAUCUUUAAAUGUUAGCAAAGUGGACCUUAAUUUAAAAUUUAUUUGAUUAUUUGUUUAAAUAUUGGUUGAGUGUGCCUUAGUUUCAAAUUUAAUUGGUUAGUUGUUUAAAUGUUGAAUGGGAGGGCCAUAAUUGUUAAAAAAACAGCCCCUGUCUACGAGAUCUUUAUGGUGUAGAUGAGGAACUAAUGUUUUUAAUGUAUUUAGUUUAGAUUUUUGAGAUUGAUUCCAAUAAAAUUGUAUAUCUUUUUGAGACCCUUUAUUUUUAUUUAAUUUUUUGAAACGUUUUAAAUCUAUAACCGUAUUUGUUUUUCUUUGAUUACAAAAUAGAUGUAUACAUAAAAUCUUUGUGUCUAUCACUUGAGAUAUUUUAUCUAAGAAACGUACUAGAUAUACGUACCGAAAUAGUCGUGCUACUCUAACAUAGAUUAAGCCGCAUUGUAAUCACACUGAGUUUUUUAGGGUGGAUUCGAACCCCUACCUUUCCCCAUACUUGAAUCUCUAAGAAUUCAAUUAAUUUGUUUUCUUAAUUUUUAUAUAUUUACACUUUUUACCCAAAUUUUUAUCUAAAUUAAUUUAAAAACUAAAUUUGAAUUUAUGCAACGUAACCCUUUGAUCCCUAAGUACACAACUUAGCUAAUUUUACAUAAUAAAUCUUUAUUUUUUAUUUGUCACCCAAUGAUCGGUGUAAUGGUAGUCACCUUGACUUAGCCACCAUGGGCCUCAUGAAGCCUUUGGUUUUUGGUUUGAGGUUUAACUCUCAUCCGUGUGUUAUAAAAACCUGUGUUGGGCAUAUGGUACUUUUUUCAGCCCAGAAUUAAACAGACCACCAUUUGUAGACGGUGAAUUGAUCCUCAAAUUAAUCGGUCUAGUGAACCAGACAUCAAGUUACGAAAAUUAAAGAUUACUGAUCUACACAAAAUGAAGGCGGUAUUUACUUAACUAAAAGACUUGAACCAAGUCUAAGCAUCCACAAGUUAGUAGUUUAACAUGAUGUGGAAAGAAAAAGAAAGUACAUGACAAUCAAUCUACUAAAGUAAUACAAAUAUAAAUACAUAUUCCCCCCAAAAUAAUUUUCCUCAUUUACCAACUGAUAAAAUGGAGCACAAUCUGUUUGUAUGAAAGGAGUGACAGGAGAAUCGCAACGGCAACAAUAGAAUCACAUACGCCAUGGAGUCUGGAAUAGUCACGUCUCAAGGGGCCUCCACACUUGUGCCAAGGUUUUUGCAGUAGCUUUACGCUUCGCAAAUUUUCCGAAAAAUUGUUUGAAAUCUGUGUUCAAGAAAGUUUUCUAGCCGAGUUUGUUACUGAGAUUCGAUAAACCCUUGUCAUUGUCACCUAGCCAAUGUUAAUAACUCUCACUUUCACAGAUUACUCCACAUCUUGGAAGAGUCGACGGAUAUCAGAACCGACAUAUUGAGUCAUUUAAACGCAUAUUCUUAAGACAAAACAACCGCUCAAAGGCAAGACCGUUGGUUUUUCCGUAUCCAACCUUCUGUGGUUAUAUUAUUAAAAGUUUUGGGAUUUCCAGAACACGCACUCUAAAGUUUACGUCAGUAGGUUUGUGCUUGAACUUGGCCUUAAACUUUAUGGCCAGCAUUGUGGAGCCCCUCGCAGUAGCUGAUUUUACAAACUCUCCAAGUUCUUUGACUGUGAGUGUUUUCUUGUUGUGUGAAAAUUGCUUACGAGCUCAACAAAAUGCCUUCGCCCUCUAUAAUUAAUAUCGAUGGAAUUCCUGUCCUUUAGUUUGUCAACUCCCACUAAGAUUUACAGGCAAAGCCAAUGAAGGUAGGGGUCGACUCACAUUUUCUUUAAGCAACCCACUUUUGGACCAUUUUCAAAAAGUUCGUGAGAACAAAAAAUGGAAUUGAAUUUUCAAGCAGUAAAAAGUCCUGGAAUAUGUCUAGAAACAUCAUUGGCUUCUUAAAAAAAACAAUCACCUGAAGUUAUUAGACUGGAAUCCACGUCUUUAAUUACAGGACUUCAUGCUGAGGCGGCAUCCCAAGAAUAAUUUUCCACAAACUUUUACUGUCGAAGAUGACGGUUUCUUCAUAACAUUCCUCAGGAUUGAUUUUUCCAUUUCCUUGAUAAACUCGAAAAGGUGCUCUAAAGUCUUCUGGCUGUGUUGUAGAAAAAAUCUCUAGGUCCGUCCAUUUUCUCUUUUUCCAUGGUUUAGGUCGUCUUUGCCAUGUGAAAAAGGGGGCCAUCGAGACUUGUGACAUGAGUGUAGGCUUCCUCUCGUUGACUAGUCUAAGUCUUUUGGGAACUCAAAGAUGAAACAAUUGGGAGAUAGGGGAUACAAGGUUGUCUACCUUUUCCUUGUAGAAGUGACUAGGCUUUGUAUGUCAACAGAAGUGUCCAUAUUGCUUGUAGUUUUCCUCUCUUGCUGGAUUACUUUUUCCAUUCUUGUAGUAACUUGAUAUGGGUUUUGUGGGAUAACUGUAAACAGAUGACAAUCUUUGCAUUUAAUAAAAAUUCUCAGGAGGAGCUCUUUAGUUGCUUUUGUUAUCACUCAAGAAAUCUGUAAUGUGUCUCAUAUUGAAAUUUGAGUUUUGGAAAAAGGUUAUAAUUUUGGGGAGGUUUUCUGUUAUGCCAUUUGCUGUACGUUUAAAUAGGAUCUCCAUAGAUGAUAAUGAUCAAUGAAUGAUGCUUUGAGCUGAAAAUGGGAGAUAGGUGUGGGGUUUUAUGUUAAAACUUUCCUAUUCUAACCUUUGUGCAUCAAUUGGAGCAUUUGGAUCUGAAUUUAGUUACUCUUUUGUGCAUUAGUAAGAGCUUUUGUCUGUAUUUUAUUGAAGUAGAAGAGAAAUACCAUUUCUAGUAGUGUAAUUUUAAAACACUUCAUAAAUUGCCGAAUAAAUUACUCCAUACUCACAUGAGUGUGGGCUCCACACUAUCACUUAGUUAUGGGGCUCACAAUUCAUGGGAGUAUGGAGUAAUUCAUUCCGAGUUAUACGGAUUUUUUGUUAUAGUCCUUUGUAUGAAGAUAUCGCGGUUAGCAUGUGCUCGCAAGUGGCUAGAAAUAUUGAUGUAGAAAGGUCCGUCUCCUCCCCAGCGUGAAUGCUUUGGUUGGCUACUACUCACAUUGGGGAUUGCUACAAGGGAUGUACAAUGAACAAGAGUAAGUUACCAUCUGGUACUGAUAUCACUUGCUUGUCCCUUUCCUUCUCAAUAUCAUUAAUUAAAAUAAAUAAUUUUUCUUAUUUUAAAAAAUUAAAUAAUAUUAAAAUUUAUUUUUUAAAUAUGUUUAGAUUAUAUGUUAAAAGUACAAUAUACAAAGAGAUAUUCAGUAUUUGAAAUGCCAUAUAAGCUCAUGUAAGCAUAUCCUUAUGAAUUGUAGAGCAAACGUUAGCACAAUAUACUUAUCACACUAUAAAAGCAGAACUAAACAAAAAUAAGAGAGAGAAGGAAGGGAGGAGGCAAACCCUGCAAAUCAUUAGGGUAGAAAUAACUCGGGACAGUGGCCUGCUGAAAUAAACGUGGAUUUGCGUUUCUGCUAACUGCAUGCAUUGCUGUCUCUUUUUUUAUAGACCCAUUUCUCUACUUCAAGUCAGUCAAGUCAAGUGCCACUCUCUCUCCAUGGUGAUAUUUGUGUGAACACAUGAUUGUGUGCAUGGUACAUAACAAAUGGUGCACCUCCGUCACACACUAACGUAUAUUUAAUUAUCUAGUGUGUGUGAAAGAAACGUACCAUGCACCAAUAAUUGUUUUAGGUUGAACCAUGACUAUUAUUGGUGCAUGAUAUGAUAUUAUAGAGCAUACUAGGUGAGCCACAAGAGAAUCUCAGCAAUGAGGGGCGGAGUCACGUGAGGGGCAACUAGGUCAAUUUAUCGUCAUUGGAAACAAAAAUAAAGAUAUUUUUUUAAAUUAUUAUCAUAAAUACAAUUUUUGACCCCCCACAAAAAUUAGUAAUUUGUCUAAAUUUUAUAAAUUCACAUUUUGACCCCCACUGAACAAAAUUUUAGCAUUUGCUUUUUUCCCCGCCUGUAACAUAAAUUCUAAAUUCUGACUCUUUUGACCCCCACGAUAUUAUUUUGGCUUCACCCCUGACAAACAACAGAUAUGAUAUGUCACAGAGGUUGAAAAUAGUCACGACCCCCCCAACCCGGGGGAAAACCCGGACUGUUUUUGUGUGAAGGUGAGCAACAAAAGAUUUCAUUCAUCCACAACAACAGAUCGAUAAUGACUUCCGCCACGGAGGUGAGGUGAGAAACAAGAGAAUCCUCCGGCCACAAAUUUCAACCUUGAAUUAGACGGUGAAAGACUUAUUAUCAAUUUUUUUUUAUAGGCACACAGUUCAUAAACCUAUAAAUUUUUAUGUGCUAAUGAAUGAAUUUCAAUGGUGAUAAUUUUUUGGCUUUUUUUAUUUAUUUAAUUUUAAUAUCAUAGGGUUUGGGAGAGGGGGUUGCAGGGUGAUGGAGUAGGGUGGUGGUUGGGAUUUGGUAUUGCGGGUUUAGGCUCCGUUUGACACAACCAAGCUUUUUUUAGUUUUUUUUUCUGACUUUUUUUUUUUGGGCUUAAAAUGCAAAAAGUCAUUAGAGUGGCUUUUUGCUUUUCUGAUUUUUAACUUACUGUUUUUGCUUUAGAUUUGAGCUAAAGCAAAGCCACAAAAGCAAAAAAAUCAAAAUUCUUUCUUUCUUAAAUUCUUGGCCUUCUUGGUAACAAACUUAAAAAAAGCUUGACUUUUUAAGCAUUACCAAACGGAGCCUUACAGAUUGAGGGCAUUAUGGAUUUUUAAUGUGUUUCGUAUAGGCUUGUCCUGAGUUGUCGAGGCCCGGGCAAAAAAUUUGAGGGCCCCCAAAAUUUGAGAAUUUUUGGGGGGCCCUAAAUAAAAAAUGGAUAUCCCUAAAAGGGUCAUAAUUUGAGUUUUUUAAAUAUUCCAAAAUAAAAAUGGUAAUCCUAAAAUUUGAGUAUUGUUUUGGGGGUCUAAAAUAAAAAUGGAUACCCUAACAUGGCCAUAAUGUGAGUUUUCCAAUAUUCCAAAAUAAAAAUGGGUAGCCCUAAAUUUGAGUAUUUUUGGGGCCCUAAAUAAAAAUGAUCCUAUUUGAGUAUUCAAUAUUCCAAAAUAAUAAUGGGUAGCCUAAAAUUUAAAACUUUUUGAGAAUUUUUGGGGAUCCUAAAUAAUUGGGUACCCCUAAAAUGGGACUAAUUUGAGGUUUCAAUAUUUCAAAAUAAAAAUUGAUAGCUCUAAGAUUUGAGAAUUUUUGAGUAUUUGGGGGCCCUAAAAUUUGAAAUUUUUUUUUGAGGGCCCUAGGCUAUGGCCUAGUAUGCCUUGGCCCCGGGACGAGUCUGUGUUCGUACUGCGAUCAAUUCCUAAAUUUUUAAAAAUUACACAAAUAUUGUUUUUAUGAAAAAAUUAUAAGAAAAAUUUUAAAGUUUUAAACAAUUUUCAAACAAAACAUUAAUUUUUUAUUUUUUUUAUUAAAAUCAUAAAAUUUUGAAAUAUAUAAAUGCAAGCCUUUUAUCAAUGUUCGUUGGAUGCAUGCUUAACGAAAUAAAUAGAAGGUAACUAAUAAUCGCAUUUAUAGCAAAAAUGACAUGUUAUAUAACAUCUUUUUAAAGUUCAUGUAUUAUAUUUUUUUAAAUUGUCCUAAAAUAUAAAGGACCCUAGCUCCCAAAAACUUUGGGCUGGUCUUGUCUAUUGGACGAUGAUCAGUAUUUCUCUUAAAUUAAAAAUGAUUUCUAGCCAAUUAAUUAUUUACAUAUACGGAGCUUAAAAGACAUACAUACUUUAUCUUACAAAUAUUCUAUAAAGAAGAUUCUACAAGAAUAAUAUGGUGGGGGUAUUUUAGUAACCUAGUGUGAUGGCACGUGCAAUGCACACUUGAAUUUUCUAAAUUGGGUCAUUUUAUUGUUGUUCAUCUAUAUUAUGGCCAGCCUAGUUGUAACGAAAUGACUUUUUUUAAAAUAAUUUUUGUCAUUGGUUAUGUUUUUAAUUUUUUGGUCAAUUUAUUUUUUUAAUUCAUCUUUCAUCAGAGGAAGUGAGAAAUAAAUAUAUUUUUUUUAGAAAAACCAUUACUAAAAUAUAAAUUAUUUCAAAAUUUACAAAAUAAGUAAUUCAAAUGUAUGACUAAUUUGUAAUUCUUUUAGAACUUUUCGGUGUCAUUGUCCAACAAUUUUUUUAAAUAAAUGUGAACUUACAAUAGAAGCAUCAGAACUAAUUUUGAACAUAUUAUCAAGAUUCCUUUAAAAGUUUUUUAUUUUUAAAAAAUGACAAAUUGGCCUUAUAUUUAGGAAUUUUUAAUUUAUUUUAUCAUUACACCAAUUAAAAUAAAUAAACAUUAUCUUUAAAAAAAAUAAUAACAAAUUUAUCUUCUAUGUAUAUUUAGAUUAGGAACACUUAAAAAUUAAAAUUAUUUAGAUUAAUUUUAAAAUAAAUUUUUUAUUGGAUAACAUUUUUCUUUUUUUCAAUAACGUUCCGAUUAAAGUAUUUUAAAACGUAAAUUAUUUAGAUUAUUCUUUUUAAAAAAAUAAGUGUUGAAAAACAAUAAAAAUAACAAUAAAAUAAUUUAUAAAUAAAUUGUAUUUUGAUAAAAAAAAAAGAAUAAUUAUUUUAUUUUAAUGACUGUAUUGAGAAAUAAAAUUAAAAACCUUAAAUAUAAACUCAAUUUUAUCGCUUUUGUAUAAAAAUUAGUUUCAAUGGAAAUCUCGACAGUAAAGUAAGGGUUGUCAAUGGGCCGGGUCAAUCCAUGCUCAUUUUUUGCGGGUUGGAUGGGACUUUGGGCGGGUCCUAUGGGUUUUGACUGGUCAAUGAGGCGGGUUGAACUUGGGUCGGGUUUCAAAGAUGAGAUCUAAGUCCAGUCCACGGCCUUAAGGGGCUUAGACCUACGGAUCGAGCCCUAGGCCUAGACCUACGGCAUGUAAAUUAAGAUUUUUUUAAAUAUAUUUUAUUUUAAAUUAAAAGAUUAAAAUAUCAAAGAUGAAAAAAAAUAAUACUAAUUACUUAAUCAUCCAUCACAUUUGAUUCUUUAAUAUAAAAUAGAAAUAUUAUAAAAAAUUAAUUGCCUUCGAUUGAUCAAACGGUUAGAUCUUUCGGGUUUAUCCUGAGCCGAGUCAUGGGCCGGUCUAGACUCAAAUUUGAGCCCAACCUAACAUGCAAUUCUCUGGCGAAGACCAAAUUUGAACCGAAUCCUGAAUCGGGACAAAGCCUAUUAAACUGGACCAAAUCUGAAUCGACCUUGAAUUGCGAACUUUUUUAACGAUCCUUACAGUAAAGUGAAAUUUAAACCUCCAUGUAUAACUGUUUUUUUGUAGACCAAGUUUCUCUCAACUUCAAGUCAAGUCAAGGGAACUGCACUCUCUCUCCACCAUACGUAUCUUUAAUUUUCUAGUGGCAGACACACUAAUAGUCACGUGAACCAAUAAAUUAAAUGGUAUGUCUUUAAUUUUCUAGUGGCAGACACACCUAAUUGGUACGUCUCCUUCAUGACUAUUAUGUGUAUGUGCUAUUAGAACUUAAAGACGUGUUGUUUCUUGUGUGAAGAGACGUAUGGUGCACUACUAUUGGUAAAUUGCUACGCGCCCCUCCCCGUCCCCUUGUCCCUCCCGCACUUUUUACACUUAUACUCCUCUCCCAUAAAUCUUUUUCUAUCCUCCUCCCUCAAUUAAUUAACCCCCUUUUUACAUUUUUUAGCUCUUUUUUUUUCAGUAACACCCCACCCCCCCCCCCCCCACCCACCACCCCCCCCCGCCCCACCACCCCACCCCCCCCUUUUUUUUAGCUAUGUUUUUUUUUUUUUCCCAGUUAUCCUCUUUUUUUUAGAAUUUUAUUUCUUUUCUUUUCUUAGUUUUUUGUUUUAUUUUUUUAUUAAUCAGUUUUGUUUAUUAUUUUUUUCUAUUAAUUUUUUUAAUUUAAUUUUUAACACAUGAGAGAGCCUCUUUAUUCCUUUAAAUUCCCCACAAAUUCUUGACACAUGUCAAACCUCCACCUCCCUUUAAAUUACCCGACCAAUUCUUGACACAUGUCAGAAUCUCUCCCUUCCUUUAAAUUACCCCAUCAAUUCUUGACAUAUGUCAGAACAUCCUCUUCCCUUUAAAUUACCGCAGAACCCUUGACACAUGUCAGAAUUUCUCACUCUCUUUAAAUUAUCCCACCAACCCUUGACUCACAUCUCCCUCCCUUUAAGUUAUCCCACCAAUUCUUGACACAUGUCAGAACCUCCCCCUUUAAAUUAUCCCACCAACCCACACCCCUCCCUUUAAAUACUCAUCUCAAGAUGUUGAGAAUUCAGUUCGGGGAUAUUAAAAAGUCAGUUCGGGAAUUUUGAUACGUUUUUAAAAUUUUUAUAAAUAAUGAUUUCCAAAAAUUCUACAAUUAAAAAAUAAUAAAAGAUUCAUUUAUAAAAAAAUCAUUAAAAAAAAACAAACAAAUGAAAACAAAUCAACAAACUAAAAAAAAUACACAAAAUUAAAAAACAUAGACAUUUUUAUAAUUUUUUAUAUUUCUUCGUCAACAUGGUCUGAAAAAGUAUAAAUUUUUAUAGAAUAUUUUUAAAAAAUUCAUAUAUGUAUUUGUUUAUAUAUUUUCAUGUAUUUAUUUUUUGGGUAUUAUUAUAUAUUUGCAAGCUAAUAGUUUUUAGUAUAACUCCUAAAAUUUACAACUAAAAACAAUAUUUGAUCUAAAAAAUUAAAAAAAAGUUAUUAAAAAAAAUAAAGAAAAAAAAACUGAUUAGAAAAAAACACAAAACUAAAAAAGCAAAAACUUAAAAAACAGGGGAGGGAAAAGGAAGGGGCAUAAUGGUAUUUUCAGGUGUGGGGCAGGGAGGGGUUUUUGUCAAAGAGGGCGCGUAGCAGCUCUAUACUAAUUGUCAUAAGAAUUGAAAACAUGACUAUUAGUGGUGCAUGAUACAUAUUUUAGGACAAUUAUUGGGAUGUGGUACCAUAUUGUAGAGCACACUGUUUGUGUUGGAAGUCAAGUCACGGAGAAAUCUCGGCUACAACAAUAUGGAGCGGAGCCACGUGAGGACAAAUGAGGGUAGUUGAUUCUACUAAAAAAAAUUAUACUAAUUUUUUAAUAAAAUUUAUUAUAAAUAUAAUUUUGAUUCCACAAAAAUUAAUAAUUUUUUCUAAAUUUUAUAAAUUCUAUAAUUUUGAUCAUACUGAACAUAAAUUUUGAUUUUUUUGAUCCCACUGAAUAUUCAUUUUGACUUUGUACCUUGAGUCUGAAAAUGGUGUUUGUGUGAAGGUGGAGCAAUAGGAGAAUUUUAGCCAACACAACCGAUAUGAUCCGCUACGAAGGUGAAGGUGAACAAAAGGAGAAUGUCGGCCACAACAAAAAUAUGACCCAUCAGGAGUAUGAAAAUAGUCACGGCUGUUUGUUGGACCUGGUGGAGUGGGUCUCUGUGGCACAGUUUCCGCUUCCGCCUGUUGAAAAAGGGGAGAAUCGCAGCCCAGAACAAAACAGAUAGGACCAAAACACUAAGGUGAGGUGAGCUCUUACAGGAGGAUCUCAGCCACCACAAACAUAUAGGGACCCCUCGUCAAGGCGUCUGAAAAAAAUAGUCACGACUGUUUAUGUGAAGGUGAGCAACAUGAAAAUCUCAACCACAAACAAACAACAUAUGAACCGACAUGGGGUCUGGAAAAAAAUAAUCACCGCCUCAAAGUGGCCCCCUUUCCACUUUGUGCUGAUUUUGCAGUGUAGGGCUUCAGCAAGGGGGAGUGGUCAUAUGUAGCUGUUUUGAUUAAAGUUGGGAAAAAGAAGAAAAAAUAAGGGUGGGCUGGAGCCCAUUGUAACCCAUGAAAGCUUGUUUGCUGAGUUUGUAUAAUAGAUUCAAUAAUUAACUCUGCUUUCGACAAAGUACCUCACACCAUUCAUUGGAAGAGUUGAUGUGAGAUUGUCAAGCGAAACCAAACAUAUUGAAUCAUGGAACGCUCAUAAUUCCCAAUUAGACUGAUUUAGAGAGAAAAUCAAAAUACAAAGUUAAAGUAAGAUUUAAAAAAAUACCAAGGAUAAAGAGUUCGUUGGAUGGAUAAAAAAUACAGGGACUAUUUGUAAUUUUACCCAGAUAUUUUUAUAAUGCUUCAGUGAAUCCUAAUAUUUGGAAUUCGAGUUUUAGUUUUAGUUAGAAGAAAGCAGCUAUUUUUUGGUUGGGAGGAAUCUCUUGACGACAAUCUGCUGAUUAUAGUUAGUUUUAAAUGGAUUCUCCUAGAUGAUAAUUAUUUAAAUGAAUAUUUUGAGAUGGAAAUGGGAUUGAAGUCACAUGUCACGGAAACCGUGAAUUAGAUGGUGGAGACAAUUAGUCUAUCGAUUUUUUUCUAAAGUAUAAAAAUCCGUAAACUUAUAAGUUUUAUGAGAUAAUGAUGUCAUAAUCUUUGGCUUUUAUUUAUUUUAUUUCAAUAUGCGUAGAGAUUGGGAAGAGAGGGGUGAUGGAGUGGGGUGGGCGGUGGAUUUGGCAUUGGGGAGUUAAGAUGAGAGCAUUAUGGUUUUGUUUGUAAUGCGAUCAAGUAUCUAAAAUUCUAAAAAAAAUUAUACAAAUGUUAUUUUUUAAAAAAAAUUACAAGAAAAAUUUUAAAGUUAUAAACAAUUUUCAAACAAAAUAUUUUUUUAUUAAAAUCAUAAAAUUUUUAAUAUGUAAACAUUUUAUCAACGUUCCUUUGAUGCAUGAUUAACGAAUAGAAUACAAGACAAAUAAUAAUAUCAUCUCUUUCAUUACAAACAUAGUAAAAGUGACAUGUUUAUCCCCCUUUAUAUUCUUCUAAUGACAUCAUUUUCAAGUUCGUGUAUAUUUUUUUUAAAUUGUCCUAAAAUAUAAAGGAGCACUAGCUCCAAAAAACUUUUGGUCGGCCUUGUCUAUUGGACAGUGACUAGUAUUUCUCUUAACUUAAAAAUGAUUUUUAGCUAAUUAACUAUUUACGUAUACGGAGAUUAAAAGACAUAAAUCCUUUAUAUAUUCUACGAAAAAUCUAUAAAGAAAAUUCUACGAGAAUAAUAUGAUGAGGGUAUUUUAGUAAACUAGUGGGAUGCAAAUGGAGAAUUUGCUAAAUUGGGCCAUUGGAUCAUCAUAUAAGGUUCAUCUAUAUUAUGGCUGGAUCAAUGUAUGACGAAAUGACUUUUUUUUAAUUGUGUUUUAUAAUUGGUAAACAUUUUUUAUUUUUUGGUUAAUUUUUUUUAAAAAAUCAAUUUAUUUUUUAUUAGAGUAAUUGAUAAAAAUAAACAUAAUUUUUUAGGGAAAAAAAUACUAAAAUCUAAAAUAUUUUAAAAUUUACAAAAUAAAGCAAUUCAAAUCAUCCAACAAGCUCGUGGUAAGACCCACAAGUUGUCACACUAUUUUCUCAUAAAGUGAGAAAAGGAAACUUGCCCAAAUACUAUUACUCCCGAUGAACUUAUUGUACACUUUUCAGAUGGUAAAAGUUAAUAAAUAAAUUAUGACGGAGGAAGAACAAUUUAGAAGAAAAACCAAACGAUAUGACAAGUUUGUAAAAAUAGAAUACAUAAACAAUGCCCAUAAGAUGGAGACUCGCCAAAUAUUAAAAUUAAAAACAAAAGAAUAUCUCUCUCUAUAUAAGACUAAUUUUUAAUUCUUUGAGAACUUUCCAACCAUUUUUUAAAUAAAUGUGAAAACCCUUUGCAAUAGAAGCAUCAGAACGACAAAAGAGAUGUAAAUUACACAUACCUCCCCUGAGAUUUGUGGGUUAAGCAUAUUCUCCUGAAACUUAACCUCUGCCACAUCCUCCAUAACCCCCAGAGAGGAACAGAAGGGAAGAGAAGAAGGUGAGUGUUGAGAGAUUAUUUAUUUGGGUGUGGUUUAAUAUGAUUUAAAUGAGAGAGCAGAGGAUAAUAAGGUAAGGGAUGAAGUAUUUUGGGUUUUGGUGAGGAACAGAAGAUGAAUAGUUGAGGGACUGCUAAGUAUUUGCAAGUUUUUCUAUCAAGGCUGUUGAAACUUGAAAGACAACCUCUGACAGGGGGAAUCAGCCUUAAUCACAAACCUCCGGCGAUGUAUGUGUUAUUUUAACCCCCAAAAAAAUUAUGGUAUUUCUUUUUUAGAAGGUAAUUAUAACCAAUAGACUGACGUCACUGACUUGUUCCUCUUGGAGUGAAUGCUCAAUCACUCGGACUUAGAGGCCCAUUAAAAUACGGCUGCGAGGCCGAAACCAAGUCAUGGGCGUAAACCUAGAUCUAAAUGUGGGCUUUGAGGAGAACGUUAUAACAUAAUGUGGGCUUUAAGCCCAUAAUAGAAUGGGAGCUCAAUCCAAAGCACAAAAAGAUGUUUUAGUUGUUUUAAUUUUCAAGUUUUUUUUUAGUGAAUAUUUUUUACCAUUUGAUAAAAAAAAUUAUAUUUUUUUGAAAAUCUAAAAAUGUAAAAAUUUUGUUCAAAUUUAUAAUAAAACAAAGAAUUUAGCUAAUAAUAUAAGUUAAAAAUAUAUUUUUUUAUCUUUAGUGCAAUAUUUGUUAAAUUAAAUAAAAAUUUUAUAUUUUCAAACUCAUUUCAUCAAGAAAAAUCUAAUUUGAUCAAAUGAUUAAAAGAAGUUCACUAAAACCAAACACUACACCUUUUUUUGAUGUUCACGAUAAUUGAGAGAGAUCGUGAGACCAGAAAUCAAUGCAGACCUUGAUAGAAACAGAUCUAAGUCAGCUAAUGAAGAAGAAGAGAGAGAUCCUUGGAGGUCUGAAAGUAGCUAACAUUUUGUUCAAAAAACAAUCUUAAGCUUUAGAUAAGUCUAGUACUUACCAAAUUAAAGUUUUGAAUUGAAAAUGAAAAAUAAAUGAAUAAAGAAAUAUUAAUAAAAAAGGCCACAGAAUAAGUAUUUUGUAAUUUGAUACUUUAUAGAUUAAUACAAUAGAAAUUAUGUAUUAUUUUACCUAUUAUUAAUGAAAGCGAUUGAUAUGUAUGAUUUGAGGAAAAUUUAAAUUAUUGUGGUAAGAUUUAAUUAGAAAAGCUGAUAAAAGUGGGGAGAGAUUCUAAGAUCGUAGAGAUUUUUAAUCAAAUUGCAAAUUAUGUUUAUGGUAAAAAUAAUUUAAAAUUUAAUAUGGUGUAAAUAAGGGCAAAUUUAGAAUAUUUAAUAGAAUAUAACUUCCUUGUAACAUUAUUUAAAGCUUGAGAUGUAUAUUUGAUCACAUGGAUAACUCUUAGAAUAUGUCAGGAUUGUUUGAAUACUAUAAAACCCUUGAUUUACCUCAUUGGACACUAAUUGUUUUUCAAGUGAAAUAGUUAAAUGUCUGAUCCAUCAAGUAGUAUAAGAGUUAAGGUCCAUAGGCACGAUUCUCUCACUAAACACCAAUUAUAAGACAUUAAACAUUAGUCAUUGAUUUUGAUGGUUAAGGUUUUUAGCACCAUCUUCGUUACAUAAACAUUAAUAUCAACUCCAACUCGAAUCAUCAUUUUCAUCUCUAUCUGCAAAACUAUCAAUUUUUCACUUUUUCCUCCCAAAUUUAAUAGAAUUUUUAAAAUUUUUAUUAUGCUUAAUAUUGAUCUCAUUUUAAAAGUCUCAUCAAUAUCUUUCUAAUAAUAUUAAUUUUAUAAAAAACAAAUUUAAAAUUUAUACUUUUACAAAAAAUUAUAUUAAAAAAUAAAAAUAAAGAUGGAUCUCCAAAUAUGAAUACUCAAAUUAAGAUCUCCAUUUUAGAGACUCAAAAUAGUGCAGGGUUGGAAUGACUUGGUCUCCAUUUUAGAGUUUUAAAGAUGAGUUGUAGAUGCUCUAAGAACAACUCCAACCCACUUCCAAAAUUCUAUUUUGGAGGUAAGAACUACUCCAAUCUACCUCCCAAUUUAAAGUAUCCAAAAUCGAGAUUUCAAAUUUGGUCUCCAAAUUUGGAGACUCCUCACACAAAUGGAGGCUCAUCCUCCAACCUAGAAACUUUGAAAAAUACCAAUUUUUUCUAUUUUGCCUUUUAUAUUUUUUGUACUUGAUGUGGAUUUUUCUAAAAUAACAUAAAACUGUAGUAUAUAAAUUCAUAUUAUGUAAAUUUACACUAUUACGAAGAUCUCAACAAUAUUUUAAAUAAGAUUCAUAUGAAAUAUAUUCAAUUAAUAAGUAUACAAAUAUCAUAAUUUGAUUUUUUUAAGGAAUAGUUAUAUAAUUGAAUUUUAAUAAAAGUUAGAAGAAUUGGAGGAAAAGUGAAGGAAUAGUUGAAUUUUGAAUGAAUUAAGUAAGUUGUUAGAAAAAAUGGAGUGGAAAUAGAGGUGUAUGGAAAUGGGAGUUAGCUGGAAUAUGCAUUUUCAUUCAACGCUCUUUAUCUCACCUGGCGAUCUUCUCUCUCUUUUCCCUCGCCGACCCACGCUUGUGACCGUCGCCGCACCACUGUGCGACCACUAGCAAACACCAUCUCUCGUCUCAAUUCACUCUCUCUCUCUCGCACACACACACACCCCUUGCACCAACCGCCCCAAGCACCACCAUUUCCCCUUUCCUUUUCUCCUCUUCGCAAUUUCCCUAAAUUUUUCCUUUGACCUAAAAUUUCUCCUCAUUUGACGAAAUGGAUUCGCCAGCGUAAUGUCUCAUGCCUAGAACCGGGACACCGUAGGAUUUGGUGAUUUGACAAUGUGGGUUUGGCACUAUUUUAAACUUGAUUUAUAUUUUAUAAAUAGCAGAAAAUAUGAAAUUACAUGUUUAUUAAUUGAUUAUUACCGAGUGGGCAAAGUUAAAUAUUAGAAAGUUUACCUGUUUAGUUAAUUAUGAUUAGACGAAGGGGCUAAAUUAUUUCGUUAUAGAACCAAAUUUACAUAGUUUGUGACCAUUAUUCGCACACGAUCACAACUCCACCAACGAUUGGUAUACUGGUAGUCCAAUCACUUGGCCCCUAGGAACCCUUAAGUAGUUAAACAUGAUGGGGAAAGAAAAGAAAGUACAGGACCAUCAAUUAUUUAAGUAGAUUACAAACUGUAAAUAUAUAUUCAUCUCUCAUUUGCCAACUGAUACAAUGGAGCACACUGUUUGUAUGAUGGUGAGUGACAGGAGAAUCACGGCUGCAACAAUAGAUAUGACCCGCCAUGGAGUCUUGAAAUAGUCGCGUCUCAAGGUGGCCUUCCAAUUGUGCCAAGGGAUUUUGCAGUAAUCAUUUAGGUCGUCGAUAAGUUCUGCAAAAAAGAAGUUGUCUAGGCUGUUCAACCAAGUUUCCAUGCUGAGUUUGUUAAUGAGAUUCGAUACAUCGUUAUUGUCACCUAUCCAAUUUUUCAUAACUCCACUUUCAACAAGAUACUUCGCAUCCUUGGAAGAGUCAAUGAGAUUAUCAAGAAACCAGACAUAUUGAGUCAUGUAACGCUCAUUAUCCAUACACCGCUCAAACGCAAGAAGGUUUCGUAGCCAAACUUCUGUUCCAUAAGCUAUUACAAAUUUUGGGAUUUCCAGAACACCACUCGUAAAUUUUAUGUUAAAUAGGUUUUUGCUUGAACUCACCUUAAAUUUUAUGCCAGCAUUGUGGAGCUCUGUCGCAGUUGGUGAUUUUACAAAACCGUUUCUCCACUUGUGCGACUGUGAUGUUCUGUUGGUGUGAAAACUGCUUAUGCGAUCAACAACGAAAUGCUCCCCUCCCACUCUUGUGGACAAAUCUUCUGGAAUUAGGCCCAUUAGUCCGUUAAACAACGGUAAGACAUGGCCAAGGCUAAGCCAAAUAUGAAUAGGGUCGACUCCUUUUUUCGUUAGGGACAAUCAUUUCAAGAAGCUCAUUGAGAACAAAAAACGGAAGUUGAUUUUCAAGCACUAAAAAGUCCUGAUAUAUGUCCAGAAUCAUCACUGGCUUCCCAAACAUAGGAUCACCUGAAGUUAUUGGAAUGGAAACACAGCGCUUUAACAGGACUUCAAUGACAAAGGCAGCAUCCACAAGAAUAAUUUCCACGAACUUGUCACUGUCGAAGCUGAUAGUUUCUGCAUAAUAUUUUCGAAUUAAUUCUUCCUUUACCUUGAUAAACUUGACAAGGUACUCUAAAGGCUUUUGUCUGUGUUGUAGGAAAAUCCUUUAGGUAACCCACCAUUUAUGCUCUUCCUGGGUUUUAGGGUCGUCUUUGCAUGGUGAAGGGGGGCCAAUCGAGACUUUGAACAGUAGUGUAGUGUCUCUCUCUUUGAGUUGUCGAAGUCUUUGGGAACUCUAAGAUGCAACAUAGGGGAUAGGGAGAACAAGUUGUCUACCUUUUCCUCAAAGAAAUGACUAGUCCUUGUAUGUCAACUGAAGUGUCCAUAUUGCUGCUUUUUCGUUUCCUCUCUUUGCCUAGAUUAGCAUUUGCCAUUCUAUAAACUAACUGAUGAAACAAAAAAUAGGAUCUCAAGAGAGACAAAAAAUGUUUCUCAUAUACUGGUAAACAAGAUAGAAAUCCAUUGCCAUUUAACAAAAAUCUACAGGAGGAGCUCUUUAAGGGUUGUUUUUGUUAUCACUCAAGAAUCUGCAAUUUGUCUCAUGAUUGAAAUUUGAGUGUUUUUGGAAAAAGCUUAUAUGUUUUGCCGAGGAUCUGUUUAUGACAUCUGCCUGAUAAAUUUAAUAGGGAUAGAAGUGUGGGUUUUUGUUUAAAACUUUCCUAUUCUACCUUUGUGCACAAUUGGGAACUUUGGAUCGGAUUUAGUUGCUCUUUUGUGCUGUUAGUACGGACUUAAUCCAUUUUCAAUAGAGAAAUUCUAAUACUUCUUCAUAGUUACUGAAUAAAUUACUCCAUACUCACAUCGUGUAGGCUCCAUACUAUCACUUGGUUAUAGGGCGCACACCCAUGUGAUAUCGAGUCAUUCCUUCAAAAGUAAUCUAUGAGUAUACAAUAUUAUCUUUCAAUAUGGCUAUGGGCUUCCCCCAACAAGAAACAAUAGUGUAUCUUCUUUUACGCUGUCCUUUUGCUCCAAAAGUUCAAUGGCUUUGGAAUCGUGUUUUUAGAAGAAAUUUGUGUGAAUGCGAAAAUGAUCCACUAUCAUCCCUCCUUGAUCUCUUGGGGUACAGCGGAGUGGAAAUUGAAGAAGAGAAUGCUUUGGUUUGGCUUCUGGAGAGCGAUGAGGAUUUUUUGUUAAAGUCUUUCUAUGAAGUUAUCAAGGUUAGCAAUGACUCUCAAAAUAUAUAUAUAUUUUGGAAUCCAUGUUUUAUGCAAUGUUAUGGAGUCUCUCGCUGUCAAUGCUAAACUGGUUUUUGAAGGCUACCGAUCUAGUUGGGUUGAAGUUGCAGAGUCAACCAAAUCAAGAACAGCUUCAUGGGUCAUAGCUGCGAAAAAUAUCGAGGAUUUCAAGAUUUAAUUGUUGAAAAAUAGGUUUUUAAUCCAGAAUUUUUCAGAAUUUUUUGACUAAGUUCAACCUAAAAAAUAAAUGAGUUCCGUCAAUUUUUUGAGCGGUUCUAAAUGGCAACGUGUUUUCCUAUACGUGAAGACGAACAUCAAGUAUUUGGUUUUAAAACUAUUUACAAUUGCAUGAGAAAUUGACAUCAAAGUGAGCUACCUUGACGGGAUAAACUUGGUGUCUUGAAUUUUUAGUUUGUCCCACAUUAGGAAAAAGUGGAAUAUAAAGUACUUUAUAAAGUCAACGUUCCUCCUUGGGUGGGCCCUAAGAGGUACCCAAGUUCUUGACGGAGGGUCCCCAAGGCGUUAUGGAUGGGCGUGUGCCAGCAAUUGACUGGUUUAAAAUUUCACAUGCUCGCCGGGAGGCUUCCUCUCCUCUUUUCUUGGGCUUGGACUUGGGCGCGGGUGUGAGUCGGACAAUUAUAUUUUUUAUAGAAAAUUAAUUUAUUUUUAAUAAAUAAUUUUUUUUGUAAAUUGCAGUUUUGUCCCCGAAUAAUUAUCUUUCCCAUCAGUUCCCGAACAAUUGUGUCUUUUCGGAUUAGUCCGAAUAGUUGUAUCCUUCAGAUUCAUCCUGAACUAAUGGCAUCUGUUUGUUUUUAGGCCCGUAAUUAAAUUUUACACAAAUAAAUCCUUUGAAAGGGUUGCUUCCUUAAUGAAGAGUUGCAUCCUCUUUCAACACCACUUAAUUUUCCUAUAAUACCCCAUUCCUCCAGCAGUUUAAGACACUGAAUUUUUUUAUUCGUCUAAAAAAAGUGUUUCUAUAAAUCCUCAUAUUGUUCAUUAUUUUCAUUCCAAGAAAGAGAUUUUUAUACAUAAAUUUGAUUCGCCAGACUUAAAAUUCGAAGUGUUUUGAUUUCAAGUAGAUCGUUGGAUCACGAGAGACAUAUGCUAGUCAACUCGUAGCACCGAAGCGAGGACGAAUUUUAUCUUACGGAAUUUGUCAAACACAAGCCGCGAUCACUCAUUGUUUGAUUAUACUUAUACAAAUGGUAUGUUAAUAUGUUGCUGUUUAUGAAUUUACGUUAAAUAAGAAAGUAAAAUCUCCUGUUGAGAAUUAACUACAAGGUUUUAUCAACCUAUUUCGUUUCUUAACUAAUUGCUAUUCUCUUAAGUACUUAAACAGAUUUUUCCUACAAAAAUUUGUUGCAUUGAUGGUGUUAUACUAUGAAGAUCAUUACUGAUUUCCCCCUUUUAAGUUAAUUUUGCUCCUUUUGUUCUAAUUCAAGAGGAGGGGAAUUUUUUUUUUUGUAUCAAGGCUGUGAAUUGUUUUGAUUUUGUUUACAUAUGUAUAUUGGGGUUUGAUUGUUGGUCUCUUGCCAACAUUUUUGGCAAUUAUGUUCUUUUUUUGAUAAGAAAAAUGGUAGAAUAUUCAAUGUUAUUGCUUUAAUUCUUUAAAGAAUUUGAUGUUAUGGUUAUUCACAUAUCGUAGUUGUAAGAACUCUUGAAACACGAUUUUCUUUAUCGUGCAUUGAUCCACGCCUUUAGGGCCAGUGAUUUUUACACUAAUUGGAAUUUUUUUUUUCACACCAAAGCUUUGAUAAAUACACAGCCUAAGUUCUAUAGCCAGACACAUCUUGGAGAUCUACCAAGAAAUGCAUAUAAUAUUAUAAUUCUAAAGGGGCUUUAGUCUCUAGCAACCUUUGAAUCAUUUCUCUCUGUCAUGCCCAAAUAGCAUAGACUAAAGUGGAAUAAUUUUACAGAACGAAAGAAGCUAAAAGGAAGACCGUUGAUACCAAAUAUUUUGCCAUCUCAGAACUCUCUCUCAAGCCUAAAGGCAAAAGUCUGACCAUAUUAUAACAAGUAUUAAAAAAUUUAGACCGAAAUUGAGCACGCGAGGCUCAUAAUUGGUCCCUGUAGUUUGUCCAUAGUUUUCGAAAGCUUUCACUCCGUCCAUGUUUUAACGGAUAGACUACUUAAAUCAAAUCAAAUUAAAUUGUGCUAAUUGUUUUAAAUUAAAACAUGGGACCAAAGUGCAACUUAAUCACAAUACAAGUGAAUAAUGUGAAAAUUAAGCUUAUAAAACUUUACCAAAAUCUUUUCUGCAAUUCGCACUUGAUUUGGAAAAGCAAAUCUGUCUAAGUUGGAAAAAAACCACAUAAAACCACAUCAAGGCCUAAGAGAUUUAUUUGGGUGGAGGAUUUUGAAUUAUAAAACAUAAAACAUUAUAAAUUUAUGGUAAGAAAUAUAAUAUUAAUUUAAUUAUGAGUGAUUGAAUCCAGAUAAUUUAAAUAUUUUAUUAGCUAAUUUAAUAUAAAAUUAAAUUGAUUUUAAUGUACUAUUUGACCAGAAUUGUCGUUAUCACAUUUUGGCACUGCUAAUCAAAUGAAAUAGGGUAAAUUUACUAACCUUCACGAGUUUAUGAAAAAUACAACUACCUUAUGUGGUUUCUGAAAUAUUGCUGAUCUUUUUUAUUUUUUAAAAUUAUUGUCAAGAUGCCGCCAUAAAACUAUUUUUUUAUAAAAAUGACAAUAUUGUCCUUUUGUUUAGGGUUUUUAAUUUUUUUUCUUAAUAUACUAAUUAAAAAUAAAUAAAUAUUCUCUUAUUAAAAAAUUAAAUUAAUAUUAAAAUUUAUUUUUUAAAUAUGUUUAGAUUAAGAAUAUUUAAAAGUAAAAUAUUUAGAGAGAGAUUCACAGUAUUUGGAUGCAAUUAAGAGCUAAUAUAAAGCAGAUCUAUGAAUUGUAGAGCAAACGUUCGUACAGCUUUAUACUUAUUCCACUAGGAGAAAGCAAGAACUAAGCAAAAUAUAUGAGAGAGAGAGAGAGAGAGGAGGCAAACCUGCAAAUUCUAUAGGGCAUAAAUAACAUGGACGGUGGCACUGGAAAAAGCGUGGAUUUGGUUCUUCUUUACUCCAUGGAUAACUUUUGUUUAUAGACCCAUUUUCUCUCACCUUCAAUUAAAGUCAAUUCAACUGCACUCUCUCCAUUGUGUGAACACGUGACUAUUAUGGGUGCGUAGCACAAAUGCCACACAAUUUAGGACUUAUUUGGUGUUUUGAAAUUGGAAAAUUGCUUUAUAGAGGGCAAAUUCUUGGUUUUUGUGAGUAAAUUUCACUAACUUUUUUUGAGAUUUUUUGACAAAUAUAGUUACUUUUUUUGUAGUUUUUAAAAUAACAUUGACAUCUAUUACUUUUGAACCUAUUGUCAAGAGUGAGGUUAAAUUUUUUUUUAGGAAUAACUUCACCUACACUCCUGAGGUUUUCCAUAAUUGCACUGACCUCCCAUGUGGUUUUAAAAAUGGCACUAAACCUCUCUUGUCAGAGCAAAAAUGGCCAGUAUAACCCCUGACUUCCCCGGCGAUUUUUUUUACUUUUUUUGUUUUUUAAUCAUUUUUAUUUAUUUAUUUAAUCUAAUUAUUUAUUGAUCAAUUUUUUUAAGGAGGGAUAAAUAAUUUUUUUAUUAUAUAUUUGUAUUUUUUAGUUUUUUUUCAUAAUGAUUGUUAAUAAAAAAUACAAUAAAAAAUAAAAAUUUAGCCAAGUUUCGUAUCUAAUGUACUGAACUUUUGAUACCUGAUUUGCAUAUUUAUUUGGAAGUCAAGAUCCACUGAUCAAGGUUAGCCUCAUCACUUGGGCAUUAUCAAAGUGUUGAUUAAACGAUAAAAAAAACUUUAAAAAAACAUCCAAAAACCAAAAUACUUAAAAAAAAAUUUAAAAAUUAGGCAAAUGCCUUUAAUUAAUGGGUUUAAGAUAUUUUAUAAUUUAUACAUAUAACUAAAAAGUUUAACAAUUUUUCAAAAUAGAAUGAUAGAUUAUUUGUGAACUAAAUUGUGGGGUCUUAUUUUUAUUUUAUUUAGUUUUUAUUAAAAAUUAAUUAAAAAAAAAUUUAAAAAACACAAAUAUAUAAUAAAAAAAAUAUUUAUCCAAAAAAAAACUGAUCCAAAAAAAAAUAAAUUAGAUUAAAAAGUAAAUAAAAAUGAUUAACAGAAAAACUAAAAAAAAUUAGGGGCUAGGGUCAGGGGCAUAAUGGUCAUUUUCGCUCUGACAAUGGAGGUCAGUACAAUUAUGAAAAACCUCAGGGGGUGUAGGUAAAGUUAUCCAUUUUUUUAUAUAUAAAAUGACAAAUUGGCCUUAUAUUUAGGAAUUUUAAAUUUAUUUUCUCAUUACACCAAUUAAAAUAAGUAGAUAUUAUCUUUAAAAAAAUAAUAAACAAAAAUAUAUUUUAUUGUCAUUUAGAUUAAGAGCACUUAAAAAGUAAAAUUAUUUGGAUCAAUUUUAAAAUAAAAUUUUUCAUUGAUAACAAAGUUUUAUUUUUUAAAUACGUUUCGAUUAGGAGUACUUAAAAAGUAAAUUAUUUCGAUCAAUUAUUUUUGAAAAAAAUUACGUGUUGAUAAAAAAAUAAUUUAUUUAUUUAUAAAUAAAUGGUAUUUUGAUAGAAAACAAAGAAUAAUUAUUUUAUUUUAAUGGCGGUAUUGAGAAAAAAAUUAAAAAUCCUAAAUAUAAAUUCAAUCUUAUCAUUUUUGUACAAAAAUUAGAUUUAAUAGAUAUCUUGAUAAUAAUUUUUAUAAAUAAAGAAGACCAGUAUACUUUUAGAAAUUAUAGAAAAUAUGACUAUUAGUGAAAUUUAUACCUCCAUGUAUAACUAUUUUUUGUAGACCAAGUUUCUCUCAACUAAGCCACAUCAAAAAGCUCGGGGACCAUGGCCUGACCCAGAUUCGGCUCAACUCAAUGGGUUUUGACCUGACUUAUGGCUUCAAAGGUCCAAGCCGGUUCAGCCGCAGGGAAUAAAUAUGAGUUAGAUUGGAGUUGGGUCCAAUUUUUAAUCCGUGGGCCUCCCACAACGCUGAAAUUUAUCAACAAAAUCGGUAGUCCUGCCCGUGGACAUCUGUGGUCCAAUGGCCCACUCAAAGACAUUAAUUUUUUUAUAAUAUUUUAUAUAUAAAUAAUCAAUAUCUAUGAAUGAUUUUAUAUAAUUACGCAUUAUUUUUUUAAUUUAAAAUAAAAUAUAUUUUAUUAUUUAAAAAUCUAUGGGCCCAGAUCCGGCCCGUAUGUCCAAACCUCUUAAGACUCAGGGACCAGACUAGUGUCUCAUCUUUCAAGUCCGGCCCGAGCCCAGUCUGAUCCAAGCUUGGCCCAUGACGACCCUUACUCUCAACUUCAAGUCAAUUCAACUGCACUCUCUCUCCCAUGUGUGAACACAUGACUAUGUGCAUGGUACAUAGUAAAUUGAACAUCUCCUUCACACACUAACGUGUGUUUAAUUUUCUAGUGGCACAUACACGUAAUAAUCACGACUGUUUGUAUGAAGGUGAGCAACGGGAGAAUUUUAGCCACAACAAUAGGUAUGACCCUCCUCGGAUUUGAAUGUGAGAAAUAGGAGAAUCUUGUCCACAACAACAAAUAUGACCCAUCACGGAGUCUGAAAAUAGUCACGACUUUUUGUGUGGAGGCGAACAAUAGGAGAAUCACAGCCACAACAACAUAUAUGACCCGCCACAAAGGUGAAGUUGAGCAAUAGUGGAAUCGCAGUCACUACAACAUAUACAAACCACCACGGAGUUUGAAAAUAGUUGCGACUGUGUAUGUGAAUGUGAGCAACAUGAGAAUCUAAGUCACAACAACAUAUAAGAACCGCCAUGGAGUCUGGAAAUAGUCACGCUUCAAAUUGGCCUUCCACUUGUGCCAAUUUUGCGGUGGUCAUUUAGUUGUUUGUAAAGUUGAAAAAAAUAGGUGUGGCUUGGGGCCAUGAAAGCUUCUUUAAGUACCUCCACAUCCUCAGAAGAGUCGAUGAGAUUGUCAAGAAACCAAACAUAUUAAGUCAUGGAACACUCCUUAUAAACCAAUUAGACUUAUUUGGAGAGAAAAUCAAAAUACAAGGUUAAAAUUGUAAGAUUUAAAAAUACAAGUGCCAAAUUGUUGAUGGAUAAGACUAUAGAGAUCAUUUUUGUAAUUUACCCUGAUAUUUAUAAUGCUUCAGUUGAGUCCUAAUAAUUGGAAUUUGAGUUUCAGAAGAAGUUUAUUUUGGUUGGGAGGAAUCUCUUGAUGACAAUUUGUUUGUAUCACUAAUUAAGUGUAAGUGGUAUCUCCUCCCUAGAUGGAUAAUUUAUUUAAAGGAAUAUUAUGAGAUGGAAUGGAUUGAAUUCGGCAUUUCUCUGAACCCGUGAAUUAGACAGUGAAUACAAUUAGGCUUCGUUGACCCAGCUUUUUCAGUUUUUUUUUUGGGCUUUUUUGGCUUAAAUAAGCAAAAAAAGCCAAUCAGAGUUAGUUUUUUGCUUUUCUGAUUUUGCUUUUUUUGCUUGAGUUUUAGUUAAACAUAUAGCCACAAAAGCAAAAAAAUCAAAAAUCUUGGCCUUAUUUGAUAGCAAGCUUAAAAAAGCUUGGUUUUUAACCCCCCCCCCCCGCAUUCCCAAACGGAGCCUUAGCUAUCAGUUUUUUUUCUAUGGGAUAAUUUCACCCACACCGCCUGAUUUUUUCAUAAGGCACGGACCUCCCCUGUAGUUUUUAAAAAAAUGGCACUGAUCUCCCCUGUCAGAGCGAAAAUAACCAUUAUGGCCCGCUGACCCCAGCCCCCCACCCCCAUCCCACCCCACUCCCCACCCGUCCGCUAUUUUUUUUAGUUUUUUUUUUAGUUUUUCUUUUAAUCAUUUUUAUUUACUUUUUUAACAUUUAUUUUUUUGAUCAGUGUUUUUUUUUUUGGAUAAAUAAAUUUUUUUAUUAUAUGUUAGUGUUUUUUUUAGUUUUAUUUAUUUUUUUUCAUUAAUUAAUUUUUAAUAAAAAUAAUAAAAUAAAAAUUUAGUCAAGUUUCACAUCUAUUGUACUGAAUUUUUGAUACCUGAUGCAUAUUUAUUUGGAAGUCAAGAUUAAUGACAAGGUUAGCCUUCAUCACUUGGGCAUUAUCAAAGUGUUGAUGAAACGAUAACAAAAUAAAAAAACUCAGAAACCAAAAAUACUUAAAUUUUAAAAAAACUUAGGCCAAAUUGGCCUUUAAUAAUGGGUUUUUAAGACAUUUAUAAUUUUAUACAUACAACUAAAAAAUUGUGUACAAUUUUUCAAAUAUAAUGAAUUAGAAUUUGUGAACUUAAAAUUUGUUGUUCUCUUUUUUUUUUAUGUUUAUUUAUUUUUUUAUUAAAAAUUAAUUAAGGAAAAAAAAUAAAAAAAAAACACAAACAUAUAAUAAAAAAAUUAUUGAUAAAAAAAAAAAACUGAUCAAAAAAAAAAAAAGAUUAUAAAAAGUAAAUACAAAUGAUUUAAAAGAAAAAAACUAUAAAAAAAAACUAAAAAAAUCACGGGGGAGGGGGCUGGGAUUCAGGGGCCAUAUGGUCAUUUUUGCUCUGACAUGGGCAGAAGGGGUCAGUGCCAGUUUUUUUUUUAAAAGCACCAAGGAGGUCAAUGCCAUUAUAAAAACUCAGGGGUGUAGUAAAGCUUAUCCUUUUCUAUAGCACAAAGUUCAUGAACCUAUAAAUUUAUGGCUAAUGAAUGAAUUUCAGAUGUGAUAAUCUUUGGCUUUUAUUUAUUUAAUUUAAUAUGCUUAGGGUUUGGGAAGAGGGUGUUGCUUGUACUGCAAUCAAUUAUCUAAAGAUUUUUAAAAAAAUUACACAAAUAUUAUUUUUUUUGAAAAAAUUACAAUAAAAAUUCUGAGGUUUUAAACAAUUUUCAAACAAAACAUUAAUUAUUUAUUUUUUUUAUUAAAAUCAUAAAAUUUUGAACUAUAUAAAUGCAAGCCUUUUGUCAAUGUUCUUUGGAUGCAUGCUUAACGAAUAGAAUACAAAACAAAUAAUAAUCGCAUCUCUUUCUUUACAAACAUAGUAAAAAUGACAUGUUUAUCCUCUUUUAUAUUCUUCUAAUGACAUCUUUUUAAAGUUUAUGUAUAUAUAUUUUUUAAAUUACCUUAAAAUAUAAAGGAGCACUAGUUCCCAAAAACUCUUGAUCGGCCUUGCCUAUUGGACGGUGAUUAGUAUUUCUCUUAAGUUAAAAAUAAUUUCUAGCUAAUUAACUAUUUAUGUAUACGGAUAUUAAAGGGACUACGUCCUUUAUUCUACGAAAAAUCUAUAAAGAAAAUUCUACUAGAAUAAUAUGGCGAGGGCAUUUCAGUAAUCUAGUAUGAAGGCACGUGCGAUGCACAUGGUGAAUUUGUUAAAUUGGGCCAUUGUAUCAUCAUACAAGGUUCAUCUAUAUUAUGGCCGGCUCAAUUUAUGACGAAAUGACUUUUUUUGAAUUAUUUUUCUAAUUGGUAACCAUUUUUUAUUUUUUGGUCAAUUUUUUUUAAAAAAAUAAUCUAUCUUUCAUUAGAGUAAUUGAUAAAAAUAAACAUAUUUUUUU
rnacentral:lncRNA from 1 species